rnacentral:rRNA from 1 species
CCUACGGGUGGCAGCAGUCGAGAAUCAUUCACAAUGGGGGAAACCCUGAUGGUGCGACGCCGCGUGGGGGAAUGAAGGUCUUCGGAUUGUAAACCCCUGUCAUGUGGGAGCAAAUUAAAAAGAUAGUACCACAAGAGGAAGAGACGGCUAACUCUGUGCCAGCAGCCGCGGUCAUACAGAGGUCUCAAGCGUUGUUCGGAAUCACUGGGCGUAAAGCGUGCGUAGGCUGUUUCGUAAGUCGUGGGUGAAAGGCGCGGGCUCAACCCGCGGACGGCACAUGAUACUGCGAGACUAGAGUAAUGGAGGGGGAGCCGGAAUUCUCGGUGUAGCAGUGAAAUGCGUAGAUAUCGAGAGGAACACUCGUGGCGAAGGCGGGUUCCUGGACAUUAACUGACGCUGAGGCACGAAGGCCAGGGGAGCGAAAGGGAUUAGAUACCCGGGUAGUC